GGAGGAGCCGAGGGCUCCGGAGUUUGGCGUGAGUUGCUAUGGUCACCGGAUGCUUUAGAGCCUUCUAGAAAGCCGUGGGCUCAAAUCUGGCGGGAUUGGAAGUUACAAAGACUCUGAUGGGGCCGUCCUGGUGGUGCAGUGGUUAAGUUCACACGUUCCGCUUUGGCAACCCAGGCUUCGCCAGUUUGGAUCCUGGGCGGACAUGGCACCACUUGGCAAGCCAUGCUAUGAGGAAGAGCCACCAGGGAUUUGUGAGCACAGAAGAAAGGCCGUGCGAGGCAGCUGUCUGCAACCCAAAGAGAGAGGCCUCAGGAGAAAGCAAACCUGCCAGCGCCUUGAUCUUGGACUUCCAGCCUCCAGAACUGUGAGAAAAUUAAUUUCUGUUGUUGAAGUCCCACAGGCUAUGGUAUUUUGUUAUGGCAGCCCUAGCAAACUAAUGGAGCUUCUGUGUCACCACUCUUCCCUGGUUUUCUUCCCCCCUCACUAACACCUUCUCACAUCCUGUCCUACCCAGACUUGUAAAUGUUGGGGGCUCCGUCCUUUGCUCUCUCCUCUUUUCCUCUCCCUCUGCACCUUCUCUGUAGGUGAUCUCAUGGCAUCUCUAGCCCAGACCUCUCCUGAGCUCCAGGUACAUCUAUCCACCUACCUCCUGAACAGAUAUCUCAAAACUCACCUGGCUUUGGGAAGAUGAAAAAGUUCUGGUGGAGGAUGGUUGUGAUGGCUGCACAACAAUGUGAAUGUAUUUAAUGCCACUGAACUAUACACUAAAGAAUGGUUAAAUGUCCCAGACGCUUGUUUGAUGUGACGCC
rnacentral:lncRNA from 1 species